rnacentral:rRNA from 1 species
UACAGAGGGGGCAAGCGUUGUUCGGAAUUACCGGGCGUAAAGGGCGCGUAGGCGGCCUUCUAAGUCGAACGUGAAAUCCCCGGGCUCAACCCGGGAACUGCGUCCGAUACUGGAAGGCUUGAAUCCGGGAGAGGGAUGCGGAAUUCCAGGUGUAGCGGUGAAAUGCGUAGAUAUCUGGAGGAACACCGGUGGCGAAGGCGGCAUCCUGGACCGGCAUUGACGCUGAGGCGCGAAAGCCAGGGGAGCAAACGGG